rnacentral:tmRNA from 1 species
GGGGACGUAAUGGUUUCGACAGGGAUGUUGAACAGGGAUAAGCGAGCCGUAGUCGCCAAGUCUACGUAAAAAGUGGCAACCUAAAUAUAAACGCUAAGAAUAAUAAUAGCAAUUUCGCACUGGCUGCUUAGUUCAGCCCCGCGGGCCGGCGCCACUCACCUGCAGGUGACAUAACCGGUCUAAGAUAUGCAGGAAACUCCUGAGUGAAAGCCCGGCAGCUCAGGAACAUCACGGGCUGGCCUGACUGCAGUUUGCUGACAGACGGCAGGUAUGGCGAGACACAAAUUAUCAGCUGCGCUCGGAGAAAGUCUCUCGGAUGUGUUUGUGGACGUGAGUUCGACUCUCACCGUCUCCACCA